rnacentral:rRNA from 1 species
GAUGAACGCUAGCUACAGGCUUAACACAUGCAAGUCGAGGGGAAACGACAUCGAAAGCUUGCUUUUGAUGGGCGUCGACCGGCGCACGGGUGAGUAACGCGUAUCCAACCUGCCCACCACUUGGGGAUAACCUUGCGAAAGUAAGACUAAUACCCAAUGACGUCUCUAGAAGACAUCUGAAAGAGAUUAAAGAUUUAUCGGUGAUGGAUGGGGAUGCGUCUGAUUAGCUUGUUGGCGGGGUAACGGCCCACCAAGGCGACGAUCAGUAGGGGUUCUGAGAGGAAGGUCCCCCACAUUGGAACUGAGACACGGUCCAAACUCCUACGGGAGACAGCAGUGAGGAAUAUUGGUCAAUGGACGAGAGUCUGAACCAGCCAAGUAGCGUGCAGGAUGACGGCCCUAUGGGUUGUAAACUGCUUUUAUAAGGGAAUAAAGUGAGUCUCGUGAGACUUUUUGCAUGUACCUUAUGAAUAAGGACCGGCUAAUUCCGUG